CAGGUAAGCUAGACAAUCGCCUUGAGCUUGUCUCAAGGAGGAAAGUCCGAACACCUCCGUCGAAAGGCGGAAAAAAGGGUAGUCGGUAACGCCGACCGGUAUACGAAUCGUACGAAGGGUCUCUCGAGAACUUUCGUGCUUUUCUAAGCCAGGACAGGUGCAACAGAAAGUAUACCGCCGAUGGCCGCAAGGCACAGGCAAGGUUGAAAUCGUGGGGUAAGAGCCCACGCGUUCGCGUGGUGACAUGCGAAAAGAGGUAAACCCUACCCGGUGAAAGGGCGCAUAAAUGGUAGCCCGUUAGAUUUUGCAAGCAAUUGCAAACCUAGAUAGAUGAUUGUCCUCGACAAAAUUCGGCUUAUCGGCUUGCCUGUCGA
rnacentral:RNase_P_RNA from 2 species